rnacentral:misc_RNA from 1 species
AGCAGCCGCGGUAAUUCCAGCUCCAAUAGCGUAUAUUAAAGUUGUUGCAGUUAAAAGCUCGUAGUUGAAUUUCGGGAUCAAUACGUCGGUCGUGCUUCGGUACGUACUGGCGUAAUUGAUUUCUCCCUUCUGACGAACCAUGAUGUCAUUAACUUGGUGUCAUGGGGAAUCAGGACUGUUACUUUGAAAAAUUGAGUGUUUAAAGCAGGCUCACGCUUGAAUACAUUAGCAUGGAAUAAUGAAAUAGGACGUUCGAUCCUAUUUUGUGGUUUUUAGGAU